rnacentral:tRNA from 2 species
GGCGGGGUGAUGAAAAUUGGUAAACAUAGCGGACUUAAAAUCCGCCGCCUAACGGCUUGCCGGUUCAAGUCCGGUCCCCGCUACCA